ACAGUCACUGACAUUAGAUACCCGGUAGUCCAGGGUGUAAACGCUGCAGACUUGGUGUUGGAGGCCCUUUGGGGGCAUUCAGUGCCGGAGAGAAGUUGUUAAGUCUGCUACUUGGGGAGUACGUCCGCAAGGAUGAAACUUAAAGGAAUUGGCGGGGGAGCACCGCAACGGGAGGAGCGUGCGGUUUAAUUGGAUUCAACACCGUAAAACUCACCAGGGAAGACUGUUACAUGAAGGCCGAGAUGAAGACUCUGCUAGAUUUUCAG
rnacentral:rRNA from 1 species